rnacentral:rRNA from 1 species
UCGAGCGCAGGAAGCUUUCUGAAGCCUUCGGGUGGACAGAAAGUGGAAUGAGCGGCGGACGGGUGAGUAACACGUGGGCAACCUGCCCUGCAGACCGGGACAACCUCGUGAAAACGAGGCUAAUACCGGAUGACCACUGGCACCGCAUGGUGCCAAUGUAAAAGAGGGGAUUCGUCCUCUCACUGCAGGAUGGGCCCGCGGCGCAUUAGCUAGUUGGUGAGGUAAGGGCUCACCAAGGCGACGAUGCGUAGCCGACCUGAGAGGGUGAUCGGCCACACUGGGACUGAGACACGGCCCAGACUCCUACGGGAGGCAGCAGUAGGGAAUCAUCCGCAAUGGGCGAAAGCCUGACGGUGCAAUGCCGCGUGAACGAUGAAGGUUCUCGGAUCGUAAAGUUCUGUUAUGAGGGAAGAACAAGUGCCGUUUGAAUAAGGCGGCACCUUGACGGUACCUCACGAGAAAGCCCCGGCUAACUACGUGCCAGCAGCCGCGGUAAUACGUAGGGGGCAAGCGUUGUCCGGAAUUAUUGGGCGUAAAGCGCGCGCAGGCGGUCUCUUAAGUCUGAUGUGAAAGCCCACGGCUCAAC